UACGUAGGGGGCGAGCGUUGUCCGGAUUUAUUGGGCGUAAAGAGCGUGUAGGCGGCUAGGUAGGUCUGCUGUGAAAACUUGAGGCUCAACCUCGAGACGUCGGCGGAAACCAUCUGGCUAGAGUCCGGAAGAGGAGAGUGGAAUUCCUGGUGUAGCGGUGAAAUGCGCAGAUAUCAGGAAGAACACCCGUGGCGAAGGCGGCUCUCUGGGACGGUACUGACGCUGAGACGCGAAAGCGUGGGGAGCGAACAGG
rnacentral:rRNA from 1 species